rnacentral:rRNA from 1 species
AGAGUUUGAUCAUGGCUCAGAACGAACGCUGGCGGCAGGCUUAACACAUGCAAGUCGAACGCUCCGCAAGGAGAGUGGCAGACGGGUGAGUAACACGUGGGAAUCUACCCUUUACUACGGAAUAACGCAUGGAAACGUGUGCUAAUACCGUAUGUGUCCUUCGGGAGAAAGAUUUAUCGGUAAAGGAUGAGCCCGCGUUGGAUUAGCUAGUUGGUGGGGUAAAGGCCUACCAAGGCGACGAUCCAUAGCUGGUCUGAGAGGAUGAUCAGCCACAUUGGGACUGAGACACGGCCCAAACUCCUACGGGAGGCAGCAGUGGGGAAUAUUGGACAAUGGGCGCAAGCCUGAUCCAGCCAUGCCGCGUGAGUGAUGAAGGCCCUAGGGUUGUAAAGCUCUUUCACCGGAGAAGAUAAUGACGGUAUCCGGAGAAGAAGCCCCGGCUAACUUCGUGCCAGCAGCCGCGGUAAUACGAAGGGGGCUAGCGUUGUUCGGAUUUACUGGGCGUAAAGCGCACGUAGGCGGAUCGAUCAGUCAGGGGUGAAAUCCCAGAGCUCAACUCUGGAACUGCCUUUGAUACUGUCGAUCUGGAGUAUGGAAGAGGUGAGUGGAAUUCCGAGUGUAGAGGUGAAAUUCGUAGAUAUUCGGAGGAACACCAGUGGCGAAGGCGGCUCACUGGUCCAUUACUGACGCUGAGGUGCGAAAGCGUGGGGAGCAAACAGGAUUAGAUACCCUAGUAGUCC